rnacentral:tRNA from 1 species
GCCCUUGUAGCUCAGUUGGCAGAGCACAUCCAUGGUAAGGAUGAGGUCACCAGUUCGAUUCUGGUCGAGGGCU